rnacentral:rRNA from 1 species
AUUGAACGCUGGCGGAAUGCUUUACACAUGCAAGUCGAACGGCAGCACGGACUUCGGUCUGGUGGCGAGUGGCGAACGGGUGAGUAAUGUAUCGGAACGUGCCCAGUCGUGGGGGAUAACGUAGUGAAAAUUACGCUAAUACCGCAUACGAUCUAUGGAUGAAAGCGGGGGAUCGCAAGACCUCGCGCGAUUGGAGCGGCCGAUAUCAGAUUAGGUAGUUGGUGGGGUAAAGGCCCACCAAGCCAACGAUCUGUAGCUGGUCUGAGAGGACGACCAGCCACACUGGAACUGAGAACCGGUCCAGACUCCUACGGGAGGCAGCAGUGGGGAAUGUUGGACAAUGGGCGAAAGCCUUAUCCAGCCACUCCGCGUGCAGGAUGAAGGCCCUCGGGUUGUAAACUGCUUUUGUACAGAACGAAAAGGUUUCUACUAAUACUAGGAGCUCAUGACGGUACUGUAAGAAUAAGCACCGGCUAACUACGUGCCAGCCGCCGCCGUAA